rnacentral:ncRNA from 1 species
CUGGAACGUUAAUCUCGGCGGUAUCCCGAUUUAUCGGGACGCUAACUGAGUGAAGCGCCAGUAAACGUCGGCGAUAACUAUAAUCGUCCAAAGGUAACGUAAUCCCUUGCCUGGUAAGUUCAGGCCCGCAUGAAAGGCGUAACGAUCAGGGGACUGUCUCAACGAGGAGCCCGGUGAAAAUGCAAUACCGGUGAAGAUGCCGGUUACCUGCGGCUAGACGGAAAGACCCCGGGAGCUUUACUGUAAGGUGAUAUUGAGUUUUGAGUUUGGAUGCGUAGCGUAGCAGGGAGGCUUUGAGUCCUGAUUUUCGGAUCGGGAGGAGCCGUCAAUGAAACACCUGUCUUUCAAGUUCUUAAUUCUAACUUCCGAUUUAUCGGAAAAACAGUGUUACCCUGGCAGUUUAAGUGGGGCACUUGCCUCCUAAAAGGUAAUGGAGGCGUUUAAAGGUUGGCUAUUUCCGGAUGGAAAUCGGAAAAAUAGGACAAAGCCAUAAGCCAGCUUUACUGCAAGGCGGAUAUGCCGCGCAGUCACGAAAGUGGAACUUAGUGAACCGACUCGUUUUCAUAGAAAACGAGGAGAUCAUCAGAUAAAAGCUACCCCGGGGAUAACAGGUUGGUAGGGCCCGAGAGUUCAUAUCUACGGCCCUGUUCGACACCUCGAUGUCGGCUCAUCUUAUCCUGGGGCUGAAGAAGGUCCCAAGGGUUGGGCUGUUCGCCCAUUAAAAAGGUACGCGAGCUGGGUUCAGACCGUCGCGAGACAGGUCGGUCCCUAUCUACCGCAGGCGUUGAGUUUUGAGAGGAUUUGCUCCUAGUACGAGAGGACCGGAGCGAACUAACCUCUGGUGUACCAGCUGUUCCGCCCGGAGCAUUGCUGGGUAGCUAAGUUGGGAAGGGAUAAGCGCUGAAAGCAUCUAAGCACGAAGCCCACCUCAAGAUUAGAACUCAUAGAUUGGUUAGAGAACACAACCUUGAUAGGCUGCAAGUGUAAGGGCAGUAAUGUCUUUAGCUGAGCAGUACUAAUAAAUCAUCUUUGUUUUA